rnacentral:rRNA from 1 species
GACGAACGCUGGCGGCGUGCUUAACACAUGCAAGUCGAACGGUAAGGCCCUUCGGGUACGACGAGUGGCGAACGGGUGGAGUAACACGUGGGUGGAUCUGCCCUGCACUUCGGGAUAAGCUUGGGAAACUGGGUCUAAUACCGGAUAGGACCACGGUCUGCAUGGAUUGUGGUGGAAAAGCUUUUGCGGUGUGGGAUGGGCCCGCGGCCUAUCAGCUUGUUGGUGGGGUGAUGGCCUACCAAGGCGACGACGGGUAGCCGGCCUGAGAGGGUGUCCGGCCACACUGGGACUGAGAUACGGCCCAGACUCCUACGGGAGGCAGCAGUGGGGAAUAUUGCACAAUGGGCGCAAGCCUGAUGCAGCGACGCCGCGU